rnacentral:rRNA from 1 species
UACGUAGGGUGCGAGCGUUAAUCGGAAUUACUGGGCGUAAAGCGUGCGCAGGCGGUUUUGUAAGACAGGUGUGAAAUCCCCGGGCUCAACCUGGGAACUGCGCUUGUGACUGCAAGACUCGAGUACGGCAGAGGGGGGUGGAAUUCCACGUGUAGCAGUGAAAUGCGUAGAGAUGUGGAGGAACACCGAUGGCGAAGGCAGCCCCCUGGGUCGAUACUGACGCUCAUGCACGAAAGCGUGGGGAGCAAACAGG